rnacentral:rRNA from 1 species
GUCUUUUUGAUUUUAUAAUAUAGAAAGUCCGACCUGCCCAGUGAAAUGAUUUUAACGGCCGCGGUACCUUGACCGUGCAAAGGUAGCAUAAUCAAUUGUCUUAUAAUUGAAGACUGGAAUGAAAGGUUAAACGAAAUUAAAGCUGUCUCAUUUAAAUUAUCUAAAAAUUGGCUUUUAAAUGAAGAGAUUUAAAUUUAAUUAAAAGACAAGAAGACCCUAUUGAGCUUUAAAUGAUUUUUGUGAUUGUAGUUAUCAUGGAAAUUAAAAUUAUGAAAAUUUUUUAGUUGGGGCGACUAGGGAACAAAGAAAGCUUCUCUAAAAUGAUUGAUUUAUACAUCAUGAUCCAGUUAAUUCUGAUCUUAAGAAAUAGUUACCGUAGGGAUAACAGCGUAAUCUCCUUGGAGAGUUCUUAUCGAAAGGGGGGGUUGCGACCUCGAUGUUGGAUUAAAAUAUCCUAAGAAUGCAGAAGUUUUUGAGGGUUAGUCUGUUCGACUAUUAAAAUUUUACAUGAUCUGAGUUCAGACCGGCGUAAGCCAGGUCAGUUUCUAUCUUUAAUUUUGAUUUUAAUUUUAGUACGAAAGGACCAAGUUAAAAAAUAAUUAUUUUAAAUUUAGAAUUUAUAUAAUUGUAUUGUAAUACCUAUGAAUAAAUG